rnacentral:lncRNA from 1 species
CUAAAGGUAGUAGCUCUCUUGCUUGAAAGGAAUAUAAAGAAAUUUUGGAUUGAAAGGAUGUGUCUGUUAUAUGUUUGAACAUGGGACCUUGAGCAGGAAAAUGGUAUUCAUAUUCCUUAUUACCUUUGUGUUGGUACCAUCCAUUUUCGCAAUCCAGAAUUUUUUAUUCUAGCUUUUACUGUGUUUGUUGUAGCUAUUACAUAGACUUACAGUCUAAAGGGAGUUGCGGAUUUUGCUUUCGCUAAAUUAUCAAUGUUUAUCCUAGCUCAAGUGCUCACGUUAAAUUAUGCUUCAUUCAUAAUAAUGUACAAAUCUCAUCUGUAAUUAAUUCAUCUCUUAAAAAGCAAUGUACGUG